rnacentral:rRNA from 1 species
UACGGGGGGAGCAAGCGUUGUUCGGAUUUACUGGGCGUAAAGGGCGCGUAGGCGGUCAGCACAAGUCAGUUGUGAAAUCUCCGGGCUUAACUCGGAAAGGUCAACUGAUACUGUGCGACUAGAGUGCAGAAGGGGCAACUGGAAUUCUCGGUGUAGCGGUGAAAUGCGUAGAUAUCGCUUGGAACGCCGAAGGUGAAAACAGGCUGCUGGGGUUGCGCCGACGCUGAGACACGAAAGCCAGGGGAGCAAACGGG